CCCUUAGAUGUUCUGGGCCGCACGCGCGCUACACUGACGGAGUCAACGAGUUGUCCUGCAUCGGAAGGUGUGGGUAAUCUUUUGAAACUUCGUCGUGCUGGGGAUAGAUCUUUGCAAUUUUCGAUCUUGAACGAGGAAUUCCUAGUAAGCGUGAUUCAUCAGAUCGCGUUGAUUACGUCCCUGCCCUUUGUACACACCGCCCGUCGCUACUACCGAUUGAAUGGUUUAGUGAGGCCUCGGGACUGGCGCGCUCGAGUAGCAAUACACCUGCGCGCCGGGAACUUGGUCAAACUUGAUCAUUUAGAGGAAGUAAAAGUCGCANCA
rnacentral:rRNA from 1 species